CAGGAAGUAAAUAUUUACGCAUAAUGAGAAGUCGAAACAAAUACACCGCACAAUUCAGAAAAACAACAUAAUAUUUUUUACCAACUGCUGCGCAUGCCUCUAAAAUGUUUUUCCUCUGAUGAUCGGAAGUAUUUUCCUCAGACUAGCUUCUGGUUCUGUACAUUUCAAAUCUGUUUCUGCUGUUUCUCCUCUGUUGCCUAUUCACUUUCAGGACCAGGCAGCAUAAAACACAUUCAGGUCACAAGAUGACCUCUGGAUGUGACAGCUUGAUGUCACAAUGCCGAAGAAGUUGGACAGCGAGUAGGAAGAUUUCUACCAGUCAUUCUCUACACAGAGGUGGCCAGCAAUGAUUUAUCUAUACUCAGAGGUGACUCAGAACCGCAUAAAUAUGUCCCACUGAACCCAAAGCAAAUUGAUCCCGAACUCAACUUCCCCAUAGCCAGAUCCCAGAAAUACCCAUGGCGCCUCCAACCACCUCACAUAAACGGAAACUGGGACACAAGGGAAGUUGGAGUAGAAAGAACUAGCAAUCUUAACUGAUUGUGGAUAAAACAUCUUACCUUCGCAAAUUUCCCAAGAACAUGAAGAGAUGAACACACUGCAGAGGCCCCUCCCUGGGCCUGAGGAGAGGCCCUGAUGCUCAGGAAGCUUUAGCUUCAUGCUGAGUCUGCCUCUGCGUUGAGCUGAGAUUUGAAGAGAAGAUCAGAUUCUUGUGCUUAAAACCUCCCAGGCUGGUCAGGGCCAGGAGACUCCAGGAGUCAUCACAAGAGAUUAAUGAGGUUGAGAGCCAGGGGCAGAGCAGGUUGUGAAGAUCGAAUAAUAACAUACUCGCUCACAGGCAGUGCACCUGACGAUCAGCGUCUACUGGCUGGGAAGACAAGAUUUGGACAUGAAAAGAUGAGAGAUCUACACUGUGACCUGAAUUGGGCAAUGCUCAGUUACACAGUAGAGGAGGAUUGGGCCCCUCCCAGCUCCUCCCAGCCAUUCGGAGCAGUAAGUGAAGAUGUCAGCACCUUGGACAGAGCCCAACGCAUUACAGUACUCGAAGCCAGCGGAAGCCAAGCUCUCCAACUCCUUUAGCCUCGGGGUGAUGGAUUUCCUCGUUUCUCAAUUUGAUUAAAG
rnacentral:lncRNA from 1 species